rnacentral:snRNA from 1 species
UUGCUUAAGCAGAAAAUAUACUAAAAUUGGAAUGAUACAGAGACUAGCACGGCCCCUGUGCAAGGAUAACAGGCAAAUUUGUGAAGUAUUUCAUUUGUUU